rnacentral:lncRNA from 1 species
AAAAUCUAUGAAGGCAAUGUAAGGAAUUGAUGUUUUAUCCAUUCCAAAAAAAAAAUCUCAAGAUUGUAGGAUUUUUAAUGAAUCAUGAACCUUGAUUGCAGGGGAAAAAGAAAAAAGUUCCGGAAACUUUCUGAGUGCUGCCUUUCUUCCUUUUUUCUUUACUUUACUUGUUUUUUUUUUUUUUUUUUUUCAUUAAUUUCUUAUUAAUAAUUUUUUUGACGAACAGCUGCGAUUCAGGUAAGAAGCCAAUUUUUGUGCAAACCAGCCUUUUUUCACACUUUUUUUCGAAGUAAGUGACAAAAUUACGAAUUUGAUGGUUUUGAAAGUUUUGUGAAAUGAUGUGAUUUUAAAGUUUUUUCACUAAAAACAUGGGAAACAAGGCAAAAUCUGGAAAAAGAAGGAAGAAAUUCAAUCCAAAGCAGAAGCAUGGAAACCCAGACUUGAGCUCCUUGGCUUUGUUACAAGGCUCUCAAUGUUUUCAUAAUGAGGAUUCAGACAUGGAAUGGUCAGACUCUUCAGCAUCACAAACUUGGUGGUCUACAAAUUGGUCUACAAGAUGGAAGCAUGUCGUGCGUGUCACAAGUAUCUGGUUGUGACACUUCUUUUCAAAUCAACAAACUGCAGACUGAGAUACUCGUCCACGAGCAAAGAUUUUCUUUGAGUGGUGUGAUUCGAUACAAAAAUGAUUCGGCACACUAUGUGGCAUAUGUUCGGAAAAUGAAUGGACAUUGGGAAAUACAUGAUGACCUAAAGGAUGAGCCCCAGCUCAACCCAUCAACAAGCAAACACAUAAAUCUUAUCUUCUAAUUUAUACUGAAAUAUGGAAUGAGCUGGAAUCAUGAGUUGAAAGUUCGUUGUCACCUUCUUGUUUCAUUCGUUCAUCAGCACAUUUUCGUUUCACAGGAAAAACACUAGCACUUCAAUCUGCCCAAUUUUCGAAAUCCUUCUACUGUUGUAAUUGUAGACAUGUAUUAUGUAUUAUUGUAUUUGUAUUAUGUGUGUUUAAGAUUUCGUAGAUACAGUUGUAAAUACAGCAAUAAAAGUAUUCCUUUUUUUUAAAACACUUUUUUGAAGAACAAAAUUGUCAAGACAAAUCGUACAAAUUCCUUCGAACUGAACAUAACCUAUAAUCAAAAUAACAACACCAAUAGGCAAGUUCUAGUAGCAACAGCCGCCAUUCGGUGGUCAGCAAUCUCCAGUGUUGCACAACAGCGGUCACCGCUUAUGAAAAAAACGCCCCUCAAGAGCCUCUGAGAAGUUUUGAAACUUUCAGCCGUACUUUCUCUGCGCUUGUAAGUCUGAUUGUCAAUAUUUUUGGCUCAAAAAAUCAAGCAGAAAAUAAUCUAGAUCUUGUGGAUCUGCUUUUUGGAAUUUGAACAAUAUUAUCUCAGUAAUCGUCGAAGGAAAGUGAAAUUCUCAGUGGCGACUGGUGGCGCUAUCUCUAUUCUUGAAAUAUCCCUAAUCGAACCCUGGAUUCACCUUAAAGUCAGACCUUGCCUACACUAGAGUACCUGUGUACGGGAGAGUAUUGCCAUCUCAAUCCUUUGACUACAGAAAAAGUGUGCCGCUCUCUGAUUGGUCGGCUAUCACGG